rnacentral:rRNA from 1 species
UACAGAGGGGGCAAGCGUUGUUCGGAAUUACUGGGCGUAAAGGGCGCGUAGGCGGCCUUCUAAGUCGAACGUGAGAUCCCCGGGCUCAACCCGGGAACUGCGUCCGAUACUGGAAGGCUUGAAUCCGGGAGAGGGAUGUGGAAUUCCAGGUGUAGCGGUGAAAUGCGUAGAUAUCUGGAGGAACACCGGUGGCGAAGGCGGCAUCCUGGACCGGUAUUGACGCUGAGGCGCGAAAGCCAGGGGAGCAAACGGG